CAAAGGUUUGGUUUGUGGAAUAUUGUUAAAAUAUUCCAGUUACACGUUGUGAAUGUGCUUUUCUGUCUUCUUUUGCUAGUUAUGGGCUCAUUAGGCUAUCUCGAUUGCAUUUGGCGAGAUGGAGGAGGCCUCAAAAAGUCUAUCCUUUAUGCACGAAUCAGCUGCAAAGAGUUUGGGACCCUGACUUAGGAAAAGGCUGUACCAUGUGUGCUCCACAUGACUAGGCCUCAGAGAACCCACACAGGUAUCUCUCAAGAAGCAAACCCAUAAGAAACAAAUAUUCAUUAGCUCUGCCUCUAAGCCAUUCCUUCUUUUUCCAGUCUUCCUUCGGUUUCAUCCAAGUUCUGUGAUAUUAAGCACAAACUUAGCCUGCAAUAUUUUGCAAUAUUCCCCAUCUGGCAAAGCACUUCAUGCAGUGUUAGGAGGGUGUGGAAAGCAGUGGCAGGAAGCCAAGAGCAUCGUGCCUGCAACAUGCAGCAUCACAGAAGGAUCCCAAAUUCACGUCAGAAUCCUUCCACCUCAUGCAACAAACAUCAGAACGUGCGUGUAAUAAAGCAGCGCCAAUAAAGCAAAGAAGCCUGUGGUGCUCUCCUGACCCAGCAACUCACUCUUGUUCCUGAAGCAUGCUGCUGUUUCAAUAGACGGGAGUGCCUAAAGUCUCAGCUUCACAAAAAACAAAGAAAUGCACGCACACAACACAAGAAGAGCAGUUCUCCCUUUCAGAUCAAUAGGAAAGAGGUUUUGCUCGUCCAAAGAAAGGAGAGCACAGCUGACAUCUCCACGGUGAUAAUGCCGUAAAAUACGCCGUUCGCAUUAGGAAAGGCGGAUUCG